UACGUAGGGAGCAAGCGUUGUCCGGAAUCAUUGGGCGUAGAGCGCGCGUAGGUGGCUUCGUAAGUCCGUUGUGAAAGUCAAAGGCUCAACCUUUGAAAGCCGAUGGAUACUGUGAAGCUAGAGUACGGAAGAGGCGAGUGGAAUUCCUGGUGUAGCGGUGGAAUGCGCAGAUAUCAGGAGGAACACCAAUAGCGAAGGCAGCUCGCUGGGACGUUACUGACACUGAGGCGCGAAAGCGUGGGGAGCGAACAGG
rnacentral:rRNA from 1 species